GACAAUUUGGCUUUUUGAAGCAUCAUCCAUCUUUAUAUGCAGUCAAUGAUCGGGGUUCAAGCGUCUGAAUGUCGCUGGAGGCCACAGCCCCCGAGCAUGAUGGGUAAUUCACUGAGAAACGCGCCUGAAAACACACGUCACGUGACCAUUGAUGUGGAAGUGUUAGCAACGCUAAGAACCAAUCAGGGAGAGAACGUGGGCGUGUGAUGGAGCUGGACACCAGCCCUGGGAAGACAUUUUGUCUGGUUCUCACGACUUCAAAGAGCCAUUUGAAGGUGGUUAGAAUGAGACACACUCAAACUGACCUUGAGUUCAGAUUUCGGGUGCAAGAAGAAGAACGGCUUGAGAACAGGAGACCUGAAACCAGCAGUGACAACAGGAACACGUCAGUGACAGUGAACUAAUGAGUCAAACUCUGCUGCUCGUCACGGGGGUUUGGACUCACACUCGGGGACGUCCGCCCACGAUGCCGGUGAGUCCGGGAGCUGCAACACGAGAGAACAAGGAAUGAAUGUGUCAGAACAUGGGUUCCCAAACUUGUUUGUUAUGAUUAGUACUUUAUUGUUUUCUUUGACCAGAAGUUUCCUCCCUAACAUACGGGCAGUCUGGGUCCAAUUUGCAAGAGGUGAACUUAAUUUAGUUCAUGUGGAAGGAGCAGCCGAAAUAAAGACUGUGUAUGUCAGAGCAAAACUCCUGGACCUUCAGGCAGCUCCAGAGCCUGUGGACUAAAGUACCAUCUUUACCCAGAACAUUGUAACUUAAUAAAUACAGUUUAUGAUAUUAUUAUUAUGGUACUUUAUGAACUUUU